rnacentral:lncRNA from 1 species
AGAAGGUGGCGGGGCUUCUGGAGGAAAAGAAGCUUCGAUUUGCAGGUCUUGGAAGACGGAAGGGCAACUCUUGUUUACGUUUAAAACCGAGAGGCGGCCCUAGGGGUAGCGCCAGUUAGCAGGCGCUGAAAGGCCCUGGCUUCGUGGGUGUCUCUGAGCCAGGCUGGCGCUCGUGCGCGCUGGGCUCCGCGCUCAGUCGCUGGGGUGGGAGGCCAGGGGAAGCCGCCG